rnacentral:rRNA from 1 species
GACGAACGCUGGCGGCGUGCUUAACACAUGCAAGUCGAACGGAAAGGCCCCCUUGUGGGGUACUCGAGUGGCGAACGGGUGAGUAACACGUGAGUAACCUACCCGUGACUUUGGGAUAACUUCAGGAAACUGGGGCUAAUACCGGAUAGGAGCUCCUGCUGCAUGGUGGGGGUUGGAAGGUUUCGGCGGUUGGGGAUGGACUCGCGGCUUAUCAGCUUGUUGGUGGGGUAGUGGCUCACCAAGGCUUUGACGGGUAGCCGGCCUGAGAGGGUGACCGGCCACAUUGGGACUGAGAUACGGCCCAGACUCCUACGGGAGGCAGCAGUGGGGAAUAUUGCACAAUGGGCGGAAGCCUGAUGCAGCAACGCCGCGUGCGGGAUGACGGCCUUCGGGUUGUAAACCGCUUUCGCCUGUGACGAAGCGUGAGUGACGGUAAUGGGUAAAGAAGCACCGGCUAACUACGUG